ACUGGGAAAGGGUCUAGCACAGACCAAAGUCAAAGCAAAGGAACAUCCUGGUGGGGCUCACACAUGACGGGAGGUUGGUCAGACUAGCUGCCUUGUGGGGUUGGGGGGAAGUGUGUGUAACUCAGAACUACAGAUGGUCCCUUGAAACAGACUCGGCCAGGAGAUCAUUGAAGAUCCAUACAGCAGCUGCUGAGACUCAGCGGCACUGUGGUUACCGUGACAAAGCAUUGCCGAUUGGAAAUUAAAAUGCAUGGAAUUGUGUGGGGAGUCUUUUCAAGAAGAAACAGAAUCAACUUAGUGGUAGCACUGAGGCUCUUAGAGCUGAACACCAGAUGCAAGGAUUUUUCAAGGAAACCACAAAGCUCUCUUCUUUCCUGGAGCAGAAGGUUUAGCGUGAUUAGAGUGAAGCUAUUUUAGGAGACAUUGUCAAAGCCUGAGCAAGGAGGUGUCAGAGAGCUGUAUCAAAACUGAUUCAGACCCUGGGACCAGUUGAGACAAGUGGCCCUUUGAUUCUGUCUGGAUCUUUCUGACCCACUGCUGGAGGUGGGCUCUUCAAGUUGUCCUGCUGUCCCAAAGCAAGUAUCUUCAAUGCUCUGGGGCUCAGAACACUUGUGUGUCCAGUUAGUCACCACUUUUUUUCUAACCUGCUGUGCUGGACUAGAUCAGUGAUUCCUCAACUGUGGCAAACAUGAGACCUGACCUCCUGGGGCCCUCAUCUCCUGAAUAGGAGGCUCAGCCAGAUUUCCUUGUCUUUAGCUCAUUUCUUGCAUUAAAAAAAUAUAAAUGGAAAUAUAAUUUGUGUCUAAUGUGCUGUGAAGGCAAAUGUGCUAUUAAUCAGUAUACUUUAUGUAUGUUUAACAUGUGGUUAAAGUGUCAAAUUUCCUCUAUUAAACUAUAUUGAUAGAUGUGUAUAUGUACAUUCUGUCUAAUAUAUGGCCUCUAAAGAUGACGAUAUCCUCAUCCCAAGAAGCUGUGAAUAUGUUUACCUUUUAUAGCAAAAAGUCUUUUGCAGAUAUGAUUAAUUUAAAGAUCUUGAGAUAGGGGGAGUACCUUGAAUUUAUCUGGGUGGGCUCAACAUAAGGAUGAAGUCCUUGUGAGAAGGGUGUAGAAGGAGUCAGAGUUAGAAAAAGGAGAUGUGGUGAUGUAGCCAGAGGUGGGAAUGAUGCACUUUGAAGAUUCAGAAAGACAGCAUGAGUCAGGACUAUAGGUAGCCUCUAGGAGCCAGAAGGGGCAAGGAAACAGGUUUUUCUCUGAAGCCUCCAAGAGGAAUAUAGCCCUGGCACCAUCUUGGUUUUAGACUUCUGACCUCUGUAACUGUUAAAAAUACAUUUUUAUUGUCUUAAGCAUGACUUUGUUGGCAGCAAUAAGAAACUAAGACUACAUAUAUACACACAUACACAUAUACAUACAUAUAUGUGUAUAUAUAUACACGUAUACACACAUAUAUUCUAAGUUAUAAAAUUCAAGGAUUAUAGAAAUACAUAUUUAUAUGUAUUAUUUAAAGUGAAAAUAACAAAAACUUACAUUUAGAGGGCUAGUUAUGACUUAAGACUGUCAUCUCUGGAACCAGGUCUAUCACAUUCUAGCAUUAGGACUUAGGCAAGUCACUGAACUUCUUUGCACCUCAGUUUUCUCAUCUCUAAAAUGGGAAUAUGAUCCUACCUCACA
rnacentral:lncRNA from 1 species